CGAAAGCUCUAGAAUGAUGUAUAUAAGUGCAGGCGCCAUCGGUACUUGUAGUGUUUAACCAACGACAUGGGGUGGUUCAACAGACUCUGCUGCAUUCUGUUGCUGAUUUUCUUCACCACACUCUGCGUGUGUUUCCCGACAGCCGAUCGAAACUUCGCAACAAAAAUGAAUGCCACGGAUCCAAACCUAAUAGCCAUUAUCGUAAAGAAGCCCGGACCUACCAAAAGCUUCGGUGUCGGAGCUGUUCAAAGUCGGAAGCUCAAGGAGAUCUUCAGCUGGCUACAACCAAUCUUCUCGUCGGCCGCUCAGGCAACUGGAGACGUCGUUAACAACAUGGGGUCGGCAGGAGGAAACCUAAUAAAUUCCGUAUUCGGAGGACAGAAUUCGUAUGCUUACCCAUUCCCAUUCAGGAGAUGAUCCGAGUAAUAAACUUAAACAAAUUGUGUUCCCCUCAUCUGUGGUUAUCGAACUACCCUGACUCACGCCUGAAAAAUAGCAACCUUUGGGUUUCUCCUCACACUGUCUCACAUUGUACAGUACAAAGAUAAUUGUGGCAAACACAUCUAAACAUAUUUGCUAACGCCUUUCUGUGGUAUUACAUCUAACAGACGUCAUAAUCACCCACAAUGAACAAUCUCACUUAAAAUUAUACUGAAUUAUAAAUUACAAAAUUAUUAUAUUAUUAUAUAACACUGUCAAAAAUCUCCCGUAUUGUGAAGUCGGUAUAUGACAUCACGUUUGAUUGAUGCGGAGAAUUAAUGUAAUCGACGCUGGCAAUUUUUUCAACUUUUCCGUCUCGGCACUACAGCUGUUAAAACAACAUAUAUUUUGCCCACGCAUUCAUUUCGACUCCCAUAUUUAAAUUGCAAGUGUGGUUGAUACUCAAGAAGGUUUCAAGAUACACUUUUGAAGCUAGUUACAGCAAACAUAAAAUAAAAUGAGUUGCCAAACACACAAACUUCCAGAUGUAAAGACAUUCGGGAAAGAGGUCAAUAGAAUUGUAUAAAUUAUUUUAAGUUUUGGUUAAUUUUAUGUUAAAUAUUGUAUAAUGAUCUUGUUGAAUAAAUGGUCAGUUUAGAAAGUAA